rnacentral:rRNA from 1 species
UUGGUCCUACGGGAGGCAGCAGUGAGGAAUAUUGGUCAAUGGCCGGAAGGCUGAACCAGCCAAGCCGCGUGAAGGACGAAGGUGCCAAGCAUUGUAAACUUCUUUUGUCAAGGGACAAAAUCAGGCUCGAGAGCCUGACCGAGGGUACUUGAAGAAAAAGCAUCGGCUAACUCCGUGCCAGCAGCCGCGGUAAUACGGAGGAUGCGAGCGUUAUCCGGAUUUAUUGGGUUUAAAGGGUGCGCAGGCGGCGAGUUAAGUCAGCGGUAAAAUUUCGGGGCUCAACCCCGACAAGCCGUUGAAACUGG